UACGGAGGAUCCAAGCGUUAUCCGGAUUUAUUGGGUUUAAAGGGUGCGUAGGCGGCUUUUUAAGUCAGUGGUGAAAUACAGCAGCUCAACUGUUGAGGUGCCAUUGAUACUGAAGAGCUUGAGUACAGAUGAGGUAGGCGGAAUUUAUGGUGUAGCGGUGAAAUGCAUAGAUACCAUAAAGAACACCGAUUGCGAAGGCAGCUUACUAAGCUGUAACUGACGCUGAGGCACGAAAGCGUGGGGGAGCGAACAGG
rnacentral:rRNA from 1 species